rnacentral:rRNA from 1 species
UACGUAGGGGGCAAGCGUUGUCCGGAAUCAUUGGGCGUAAAGAGCGUGUAGGCGGCUCGGUAAGUCCGCUCUGAAAGCCCGGGGCUCAACCCCGGGAGGCGGGCGGAUACUGUCGAGCUAGAGUCCGGAAGAGGCGAGUGGAAUUCCUGGUGUAGCGGUGAAAUGCGCAGAUAUCAGGAGGAACACCAAUGGCGAAGGCAGCUCGCUGGGACGGUACUGACGCUGAGACGCGAAAGCGUGGGGAGCGAACAGG